rnacentral:rRNA from 1 species
UACGAAGGGGGCUAGCGUUGCUCGGAAUUACUGGGCGUAAAGCGCACGUAGGCGGCUCUUUAAGUCGGAGGUGAAAUCCUGGAGCUCAACUCCAGAACUGCCCUCGAUACUGAAGAGCUCGAGUCCGGGAGAGGUGAGUGGAACUGCGAGUGUAGAGGUGAAAUUCGUAGAUAUUCGCAAGAACACCAGUGGCGAAGGCGGCUCACUGGGCCGGUACUGACACUGAGGCGCGAAAGCGUGGGGAGCAAACAGG